rnacentral:lncRNA from 1 species
AGAAGACGUAAGAGGUAGGGCUGUCGUAGGCUCGGCGUCUCUGGUGCUGCUGGCCCAGGCACCUCGGGUUCUGCCCGUAGCCUUAGGUGAGCGAAGGCCGAGCAACGGGGAGUAAUUGCUGGGCGCAGGUAGCUUGAGUCCAGCGCUCUCACCCCGACGCCCGCCCAAUGGCUCUGCUCCAGCCUGGGAUUCUGACCCGGGCCCGAGCCUGGGAUGGCUGGUGGGUGGGAGACCAGAGAGCAGCAGAAAUGUGCUUUCCAGCCCUAGUGCGGUUUGUCCCGGGUUAACGGAGGAGUGAGAUGAGAGUAUCACUCCUAACAGUCGAGCAGGCUAACAAAACAAUAACAAAUAAGCCAGGGAACCACUGGGCUAAUUACAUCGGGAGAAUGGCGACUGCUCUAAGGGUGAGAGACAAGAGAGAUCUCUUCAUAGUGAUGAAAACAAACAAACAAACAACAACAAUAAAACCAAAAAAGACAGCCCGGCAUCCCAGCCAGAACUCCUGGAGAUAAGUUCCGACUCCUCUCAGGGAGGAAACCUUAUGUCUACUUCACUCAAUGCUUGUAACUUCGUUCCAAUAAGAGACUGAGCUAACUUGUGUUAUGGCUCCAUAAGCACUUCCACCGAGCCUGACAGAUGACAGAGAUUCCCAGAAACCACGUGGAAAAAAGAACCAACUCCAGCAAGUUGUUCCCUGGCCUCUCUGCCCAUGCACCUUGACAUAUUUGUGCACACAAGAACACAAAAUACUUGUAAUAAAACAUGUUUUAAAGAUGAC